rnacentral:lncRNA from 1 species
AAUAAUAGGCCCAAGACCACAAUCAAUGAUCCCGCUUUUCGUUGUCCACGAAUAUAGUUCCCUUUAAUUAUAGUGUAUUACGAAUAUAGUUCCCUUUAAUUAUAGUGUAUUUUUUCUUUAUCUUUUUUCUUUUCCUUCCUCAUACAUUUCUUAGUUUUUCUGGAGUGUAAAUGAAAGAAGAGAUCUGAAAUAAACUUUUGGAUGUUUUGUUUUAACUGAUUUUGAUAUGGAAUGAGUGAUUAGGCCAGGUGCAAAAAGGUGAUAUUUACAGUUUUUGGAACAUCUCUUGACUUGUCCAUAGGGGUAUGGAUGUGUAUUGGCUAAAUUUGUAAAAGACAGCAGAGCAAUCUUUCUGAAUGUUGGAUAUAUUUUUGGACUAGAACUGUACUUUACACACACACAAAAUUUGACAAAAAGAUUAGGUGCAUUUUUUUUUUAAUGAAACAAAACGUUAUAAAAGAACUAAUAGAGAAUUUA